rnacentral:rRNA from 1 species
AGCGAACGCUGGCGGCAGGCUUAACACAUGCAAGUCGAACGGGCUUCUUCGGAAGCCAGUGGCAGACGGGUGAGUAACACGUGGGAACGUGCCCUUCGGUUCGGAAUAACUCAGGGAAACUUGAGCUAAUACCGGAUACGCCCUUUUGGGGAAAGGUUUACUGCCGAAGGAUCGGCCCGCGUCUGAUUAGCUUGUUGGUGGGGUAACGGCCUACCAAGGCGACGAUCAGUAGCUGGUCUGAGAGGAUGAUCAGCCACACUGGGACUGAGACACGGCCCAGACUCCUACGGGAGGCAGCAGUGGGGAAUAUUGGACAAUGGGCGCAAGCCUGAUCCAGCCAUGCCGCGUGAGUGAUGAAGGCCUUAGGGUUGUAAAGCUCUUUUGUCCGGGACGAUAAUGACGGUACCGGAAGAAUAAGCCCCGGCUAACUUCGUG